AUGCGUUUAAUGGACAAAUUUAAGCAGAUGGCUAAGGAUCUCGGCACAGACGAUCUCGUUCUGCACGCUAAGAGAAUAUUGCAUUCCUCUUUCGCAGUUGCUUAUCAGUCUUCUUGUGAUUAUCCUAUGGUACUCGGUGCUGGGAUCUUGUUGCUGCUACUACAUAGGAUUUGCCCUCCUCUACUUGCUUUCCUAGUGUCUUCCUCUCCCCUCCUGCUGUUAACCGGACUUCUUCUCGGAGCCCUUUUGAGUUAUGGUGAACCAAAUACCCCCUCAGUGACUGCAGAAGGAGACUCUGAUAAUCAACAAACUUUGACCCCGGAGUCCAAAAAUUCCAUUGCUGACUGCUCGACCGAGGAGGUUGAGAGUGUUACUAUCGAGACUUGCUUGGAGAAGAGAACCGGCAGUGCAGGAGUAUAUGUCGAGGAGAGAGCCCCGGCCAAUAACACGCAUGACAAUCACUGCGAAGAAACAAAUGUCAUGUUUCUGGCAGCUGAUACUGUGCUUAGCACGGAGUCUUCUAAAUAUGCCCAGAGCAAUGUCAUCAUGGGAAGAGAAGGAUAUGGUGAGCAAAUCAGCGAGAAGUCUGAUCUGCAAGAAUUUGAGAGCAGCAAUAAUGAAAGAGGUGACUAUGAAGUACACAAUCAUUAUCAGUUUGGUGAACCCACGAGUCCCUGCUGGCAGUCUGCUGACCGGCAGGAUCCUUGUUAUGGUUCUGAAUCUGAUCUUACUGAUGACAGUUCUUCUCCUGAUGCAUCCAUGACCGACAUAAUCCCAAUGCUUGAAGAGUUGCACCCACUGAUAGACUUGGGGACUGGUCACCCCACCUUGGCCUCCAGGUCCAGGGACAACUUGAAUUCUUCAUCAGAUGACGAUGAGAGUGACCUUGAGGAGGAUGACGAUGACGACAGUAUCUCGGACGAUGAAGAUGAAGGAGAGGAAGAGGAGAAAGAUGAUGGAAAUGAUCAGGAGGAUGUCAUACGAAAGAAUGGUAGGGCCGAUGGUCUGAUGGAGCUGCAGAGAGCAAAGAAUAUCCUGAAGUUUGAACUCGAUCAGAGGCUAAUGGACUUGCAAACCGCUGAUGCAACACAGAAAUUGAAGGAGGCAUCCCGUUUCUUUGUCCAGGUUCCUUCCAUUUCCACACCAAGAGGGCAACCAUAUGAUCCUUCAAAUGCCUCAGGGGAAGGGGAAGUGAUAGAGUUACCCCAGAUACCUGAUUCAGCACCAUCUGUCCUCCUGCCUAUGGGAAGCCUAUUUGAUCUUCCUUCUGACCAUAUUGUGGACCAUAACAGUCAAUUGGAAGAAACUUGGACUCCUCGCUCGUACUCUCCAGCAACACAGCUUAGAAAGCAUGGAAACUUCCAUGGACGGCACUCCGCUAAUCCGUGUCGCAGUGGCCUCAAAUCGGAGAAAGGUGAAAUUGGUGGAGAAGAUGCCCUUGGUAGUCACUCGGACAGUGAUGCUGCUAAGCAAGGGAAUGAUGGGAGGUUAUCUUGUUCACAGGAAGCACAUUUAGGUGAAGAGAUCAAAAUACUAAGCCCAGUAAUUUCAGAUGCUGGUGUGUUGAAAGGAGAUUACGGGAUGCAUGAAGGCAAUAACAAUGCUGAUUCCAGUGAUGAUAUAAAUUCAUUUCCUACCAUGAAAAAUGAAUCCAGCACUUCAGAAGCGGAGGUUUCAGUUCAUCCAGGCGGUGAGCAAUCAGUGCUAUGCUGUCUAUCCAAAGUAAAUAAUUCUGAGCAAUAUGUCGUCGAAGCGAAUUCCAUCGAUGAAGUUAACUCGUUAUUCAGGAGCCGCAUGGAGGAAGUGCUAGUGCAGUCCGUUUCAGAGCCCGUUAUGGGGCAACCUUUGACAGUUACACUUGAAGAUGACUCGAGUGACCCGGCGUUAUGUCCAAACCCCGGGAUGCAUGCCAUUGAAGCGAGUUCAGUUGAAGAAUUAAAUUCACAAUUUGUACAAAUCAAUCACGAAGUACUGACAUAUGACGCUUGGGAUGUUGAGCCGGUUCAAGAAAAGUCAAGUGAAGAAGCAUUUCUUGCUGCAGAUGAGCAUACUUCAGAAGUCCCAGUUGGAAAUGGGUCCAGAGAGCUAUCAACUGCAGAAGAAAACCAGCAGUUCGCAGGUACUUCUAGGCUCCAUGUUAUUGAGGUGACCUCAGCUGAAGAGAUGAAAAGGCUAUUCAAUACACUCGAAGAUGUGCAGGACCAGAUGCAUCAUAGCUCAGAGCACAAGCUUGCUCAAGGUACAGGAGGGAGUGCUUCUGGCACGCUAGGUCUUGAAACAGAGCCCGUCGAAGAUGCCGGCUCUGCUUUCGAGCAGUUAAUCUCUGGCCAUGACAAGGGGAAGAUGUCUCAAGAUGUUGAGGUGGAGCUGAAGCCAUCCGAGCUCAACUCUGAACUGGAGGUUACCGAGGCCCAAACUCUGGAUGAUGAUUCUAGUUAUGACACAUUUGGCAGUGGUUCUAAAGUAACUGAGCUCAAAGAUUCAGCUGGAACUCCUAAAUCUGUUGCUGUUGAAGGGCGGCAUGAGGAAGAUGUUUGA
rnacentral:rRNA from 1 species